UCCGAGUUGACCCCGGCAGUCUCCUAUGAGUCCCCACCAUCACGUGCUGGUAACAUAGGACGAGGGUUGCGCUCGUUGCGGGACUUAACCCAACAUCUCACGACACGAGCUGACGACAGCCAUGCACCACCUGUACACCGACCACAAGGGGGGCACCAUCUCUGAUGCUUUCCGGUGUAUGUCAAGCCUUGGUAAGGUUCUUCGCGUUGCGUCGAAUUAAACCACAUGCUCCACCGCUUGUGCGGGCCCCCGUCAAUUCCUUUGAGUUUCAACCUUGCGGUCGUACUCCCCAGGCGGGGUACUUCCUGCGUUAGCGCCGGCACCCAGAGGGUCGCUCCCCCCGGCACCUAGUACCCAUCGUUUACGGCGUGGACUAC
rnacentral:misc_RNA from 1 species